rnacentral:lncRNA from 1 species
GUCGAAAAAGUAAUUGUAUAUAUUUUUUAAUUUGACAGGUGUCAUUUUAUGAUAGAUGCGAUAUUGAUCUGUUAAUAUAAUUGAUAGAGGGAACUUGGGGAGUUUGGUGAUAGGCGGCUGGAAAAUCCAAUGGAACAGUUCCUGUGGCACAUCUGUAAUAAAACUAAAUACUAAAAUUUAACUUGAAAUCCCUUAAGACUAGUUGACUCCUUAUUUCUCGUCGACCGGCGUGUCCCCUCCGCGAUGUUUGCCGGCUCUUCCUCCGUUCCAGUAAUCGCCGGACAUCCUUCAGCAUUCCUGACUCGUCCAGACGUCGUCUAUCAUCUCCAUCUCCCUCAGAAACUACCUUGUCCUCAAGGUUAAGGGAUGGAACACACCCUCAAAUGGCCGACGUCUUCCCAAGAAGUCUCCUCCGCGUCGUGACCAGCCCACCGGAUUCUUGCCCGGUUCACCAGCCGAUCUUUCCCCAAUAAAUCCGAUCUCUUCCAGCACUUCCUCCGGGUAGAUGACAGACUCAUUUCCCACCAAAAUUUUGGGGCAAACUCCCAAUUUCAUUUAGAGGUAAUUUUCCCUUGUACUUCUUCAAUACACUGAUGUGAAAUACAUUAUGUAUCAUACUAUUAGUUGGUAGAUCAAUCAUGUAGGCUACUUCCCUGAUUUUUUUUCUUUAUCAUAUAUGGACCAUAGAAUCUUGCUGCCAAUUUAUGGUGCAGUCUUUGUGCUAUGGAAAUCUGUCUGUAAGGUUUUAAUUUCACGAAAACCCAGUCCCCAACAGUGAAUUCCACUUCACUUCUAUGAGGAUCCGCUUGUCUCUUCAUUCUUUCCCUUGCCCUGUCCAUGUUAAUUUUAACAGUCUCAAUGAUUUCUUGUCUUCUAAAUAGCAGCUCUUCCUCAGCUUCUAUAUUUGUAGAACUUCCUUUGACUUUUUCUACAAAUGACUUAGUUUCUCUAUCAUAAAGUGUCAUAAAUGGAGUCAUCUUUAUAGAGACAUUAAAAGUUGAGUUGUGUCAUAGCUUAGCCCAAGGGAUUAAUUGAAGCCAUUUUCUUGGUUGUUCAUGAACCAAGCACCUAAGAAACAUUUCAAUACCUCGAUUAACCACUUCUGUCUGUCCAUCUGUCUCUGGAUGAUAGGCAGAAGAUAAUUUGAAAGUGGUUCCACUUAGCCUAUUUAUUUCCCUCCAGAAGCUGCUUGUAAAGACUUUAUCACGAUCUGAAACGAUUGAUGAUGGAACUCCAUGAAGUCUGAUUAUUUCCUUCACAAAAUAUUCUGCUACCAUUUUAGAACUGAAAUCAGCAGGUAGGGUUCCUAAGUGGCAAAAUUUAGAUAGCCUAUCUACCACCACUAUAAUUACCGACUUCCCUCUCACCAGAGGUAGAUUUGUUAUAAAAUCUGUUGAGAGGUCACUCCAUAUUGCCUCAGGAGUAGGAAGAAGUUUUAGAAGCCCUUGUGGUUUCUUAUUGGAUGUUUUCAUCCUUUGACAUACCACACACUGGUGGUCUGUAUGGAUCACAAAGUGGUGGCCAAGCAAAUAGUGCCUCCACUUAGAAACAGCUUGUGUUAUGGCCAACAUUUCCUUUGAGUAGGUCAAAGCUAAUAACAUUCUGCCCGAUAUUUUUGAACUGAAAAAGGCAAUAGGAUGACCUUCCUGGCUUAAAACUGCUCCCACUCCAUUAAGGCAAGCAUCAGUUUCGAUAGCAAAUGGUUUUGAAAAAUCUAGAUGGUGUAGAACUGAGGCUGAUACUAUUGCUUCUUUAAAUGUCAAGAAGCUCUUGUUUGCUAAUUCACUCCAUCUAAAUUGAUCUUUUUUUAACAAGUCUGUCAUGGGAGCUGCCAAAUGAGAGUAAUUUUUAACAAAUUUUCUAUAAUACCCUGAAAGUCCUAGAAAUCCCCUCAAGGUUUUAAUAUUCUUUGGUAUUGGCCAGUUGACAAUGGCAGAGAUAUUCUCUGGGUCAGGAUUAACUCCAUUCCCUGAUAUUAUGUGCCCCAAAAAUUGUAGUUCAUUCUGAAAAAAUAGGCACUUAGAUUGUUUUGCAUAGAACUGAUUUUUUCUAAGUGUGUCCAGAACUGUCCUCAGAUGGAUCAAAUGGUCCUCUCUGGAAGAACUGAAAAUAAGAAUGUCAUCAAAGAAGAUUAGUACAAAUUUUCUUAAAAAUGGAGAAAAUAAUCUGUUCAUAGUAGCUUGAAAAGUUGUCGAGGCAUUAGUAAGCCCAAAAGGCAUCACUAGGAACUCAUAAUGUCCCUGAUGAGUUCUGAAAGCUGUUUUCUCCACAUCAUUUGGAUUUAUCAAUAUUUGAUGGUAACCCCAUCUAAGGUCCAAUUUUGAGAAUAUUUUACUCCCUUUUAAUUCAGCCAGAAUUUCAUUCACUGUUGGUAUAGGGAAUUUAUCUUUGAUAGUUAUUUUAUUUAAGGCCCUAUAAUCCACACACAGCCUCCAACUACCAUCUUUUUUUUACAAGUAGAACUGGGGAAGAGUAGGGGUUGCUGCUCUCCCUAAUUAUCUGCUGCCUUAACAUCUCUUGGACUAUCCUUUCAAUUUCAUCCUUUUGGAACUGUGCCUGCCUAUAAGGUCUAACACUGACCAGAUCAGCUAGAUUUUCAAGUGUGAUGUUGUAGAAUUGUGACCUUGCUGGUGGUAAUCCUGUUGGCUCAGUGAACACAUCACAAAACUCAUUUAGAAUGGGGUUCAGUUCUCCUUCCUGAAUUUCAGAAUUACUGAAUUUUUUUUGUUCUUCCUCUUUUAAUUCCCCAACAUAUUCAAAUCUGCAAAAGAAAGCCCCUGCAGUUGUUGUAGCCAAUGAAUUCAUCUCAUUCUUUGAUAAUUGUUCAUCAGAUAGUAUUGAUUCCCCCAUCCAUUUAAUUCUUUCACCGUUCCAAUUAAAUUCAAUGUUCAUGUCAGUAUAGUUGGAUAGGAUUGACCCAACAAUUUUGAACCAUUGAAUUCCUAAAACCAAGUUGGCCCCCUCCAUGUUUAACACAAACAUGUCUAUGGUCAUUGUCACCCCUUGGACAGUCAUUUUCACCAACUUACACAUCUUGUCACAUCUCAAGGAAACUCCACUGCCUGUUGACACCAAAAAUGAGGGAAUGGGUGUGAUUGGCAAUCUUAACUUCCUUGCUACUUCCUCUUGAAGAAAAUUAUGGGUUGACCCCGAAUCUAAUAAAACAAAGACCUUCAUAUUAUUAUUAUUGGCUGAAAGUUUCAGAGUUUUCUUGGACUUAGCUGUCCUUGGAGAGAGUAGUAGCUGAUGUGAGUGUGCUCAACUCUAAUUUUUUCAACUGCAUCCACAAAUUGCUUUUCCUCCUCAUUGGGUUCUGUAAAUUCAGCAAAACAUUCUCCAUCAGCUGAUAGUAGGAACAAUCUUCCUUUGCACUUAUGGCCUCUUUCUCAUUUUUCAGUGCAAUUAAAAUACUUAUUCUUUGACCUUUUAAUUCUCAUUUCAGCUGGAGUAAUUUUCUGUCUUAACAUAGGUCCUUUCUGAUAUUCAGUAGGUGGUAAUGAUAGUGCCUUCCUAUGUGGUGGAAUGUAUGGUUGCAAGGGUCCAGAUUGUUUUGAACUCCCUUCCACUGCCAAAGCUCUUGAAGUGGGCAGUAUCUCACUAUGUCAGUGGACAUAUCACUUAUUUCAUAAAGUUGGGCUAGGGCAAAUGCUUCUACUAAAUUUUCAGGCCUUGCUUUGAUGACAUCUUUCUGAAUUUUAUUUUUUAGACUAGACAUGAACAUUUCUUUCAUGACCCUUGGAUUGAUAUCAAUUACUUUGUUUGAUAAGGCUUCAAACUGAUGUUGAUAGUCUUUUACAGACCCAGUUUGCAUUAAUUUACUCAAUCUUCCUGCAGGUAUCUCAUAGGAAGAAGUCCCAAAUCUUCUGAUUAGGUCAUCAAGAAAAUCAGACCAAGAUUUGAGUUCAUUGUUGCUGUCAGCCCAUAGAAGCCACUCCAAAGCUUCUCCCUUCAUAUUAAAUGUAGCAACUGUAAUUCUCUCUUCAUCAGGUAUAUUAUGAUACCUUAAAUACUUCUUUGCUUUGUAUAUCCAGCCUUGCACAUUUUCUCCAUCGAAUUUGGGCAUUUCUGUUCUGAAUUUGUGAAUCUGAAUUACUCAUUAGCAAUAGUGUCUCACUCAUUUUGGAUAGAGUUUGUUCCAUAUUCCUCAAUCUUUCAACCUCAGUGUCUUGCUUUAUUUGUAGUCUUUUGAGUUGAACAUCCAUUGAUUCAGCCAUCACUAUUUUUUUGCGAACUGGAAUUUUUUUUUUACUGAAUAGAAACUAAAAAUAAGAUAUGGUGAUUUGAUUACGUCCCUGAUCCGGAUUUCUUAAGCAGAGAACAAGCUUUGGAGAGUUGUUUGUAAGUUUUUUUGUUGUAGGUUUUACAAAAUCUUCUUUAGCUUUUCUUCCAGAUCUAAACAAAAACAAAUGUCGUAUUCAAUAACAGUGAUUAUUAUUGAUUAGAUAGGAUUUAUACAUUCCUGUUUUGGAUCUUUUAAGCAGAGAACAUGCUUUUGAAUUGUUUUUUUUUUCCAGGAUGUAGUCUCUUUCUUCUGAAGAUCUUCAAAUGAUCCCUGGACUGUGAGCAGAAUCUAGUGGGCGAGAGGGCUUGAAAGCACCAAUGAUAGAAGGAACUUGGGGAGUUUGGUGAUAGGCGGCUGGAAAAUCCAAUGGAACAGCAGCAAGCAGCAAGACUAGAGUUGCUUCAACCCAGAUUUGUUUUUAAGAAAUUGUAAAUAAAUUGAUUACUGAAUUUAAUAAUAGAGUUUCCCUUUUAUAGGUUUCCGUUUUCAGACACCACUUAAUUAAACAGUUCCUGUGGCACAUCUGUAAUAAAACUAAAUACUAAAAUUCAACUUGAAAUCCCUUAAGUCUAGUUGACUCUUUCUUAUUUCUCGUCGACCGGCGUGUUUCCUCCGCGAUGUUCGCCGGCUCUUCCUCCGUCGCCGGCGCCUCCUGUUCGAGUAAUCGCCGGACAUCCUUCAGCAUUCCUGACUCAUUCAGACGUCGUCUAUCAGUGACAUAAAACAUCUAUAAAAAUCUUUAAAACACUUAUAUAAUUAAACACCUACAUAAAACAAUUUUGAAAAACUUAUAAACACAUGGCGUGUACCGACCAGAUUCGGUCACAAGAUAUCAUAUGAUUUACUUUAUAAUUUAUAUUUAAUGAAAUUUAAUUGUUCAAAAAAAAAAAAAAAAAAAAAAAAAUUU